UACGUAGGGUGCAAGCGUUAAUCGGAAUUACUGGGCGUAAAGCGUGCGCAGGCGGUUUCGUAAGUCUGUCGUGAAAUCCCCGGGCUUAACCUGGGAAUGGCGAUGGAGACUGCGAGGCUAGAGUUUGGCAGAGGGGGGGUAGAAUUCCACGUGUAGCAGUGAAAUGCGUAGAGAUGUGGAGGAACACCGAUGGCGAAGGCAGCCCCCUGGGUCAAGAUUGACGCUCAUGCACGAAAGCGUGGGGAGCAAACAGG
rnacentral:rRNA from 1 species